UACGGGGGGGGCAAGCGUUGUUCGGAAUUACUGGGCGUAAAGGGUUCGUAGGUGGCCAACUAAGUCAUACGUGAAAUCCCUCAGCUUAACUGGGGAACUGCGUCUGAUACUGGUUGGCUUGAGUGCAGGAGAGGAACGCGGAAUUCCAGGUGUAGCGGUGAAAUGCGUAGAUAUCUGGAGGAACACCGGUGGCGAAGGCGGCGUUCUGGACUGCAACUGACACUGAGGAACGAAAGCCAGGGGAGCAAACGGG
rnacentral:rRNA from 1 species